rnacentral:miRNA from 1 species
CUUAAAAAGUUCCUAACUUCCUGUUUCAUUGACCAAUCCGAUUGCUCAAAAAUAUAAAAUUUGAUUGGUCAAUGAAACAGGAAGUUAGGAACUUUCUAAGGAACUUA